CUUUUGGGGGAGCACAGAGAGCCCUGCCCCCCUCAGCGGUGGAUGGAGGCAUCUAGCCCCUACCACAUCUGUCUAAGGCUAAAGCUCCAGGGCCCAGGGACAUCCCCUCCCCGCCCUAGAAACAGACCCAUGUACAGAUUAGCAGGGAAUUUCCUGAGUCAGCAGUGCCUUAUAUGGGAAUCAAAGUCCUGAAAUGUCAGGGCAGCAGAGGCAUGUUGCCUCUAUUCCAUCCUCUGAACAUUUGUCUGGGGAAACUGAGUUACAGAAGAGGUUGUGACGUGUUGGAGUCCUCUGUGCAGGAGCUCCAGAGCAGCGACUGGAAUGAGGAAGGGGAGGAACUGGGCCUACCUGGAGCGGGCUUUGUUCUCCAUCUGGUGCUGGGGCUGAUCUGUGUCCACUCUGGGUGGCCUAUCUGUGAGAUCCACCUGCCUCUGCCUUCCAAGUGCUGGGAUUAAAGGCGUGCACCAUUAUGUAAGACUUUUUUUGUUAUUGUUCUUGUUUUUAGACAGAAUCUCAAGUAGCCCAGGCUUGCCUCAUGCUGAUGUAUGUAACCCAGAAUGACCUUGGAGCCUCCAUCCUGUGGCUUCUAUUUCCUAAGUAUUGGAAUCACAGCAUGUGACACCACAGCCCUUGUGUGGCGGACAGAGGACGACUUUCAGGGGGCAGAGAGGAUGCUGGAAAGAAGUAGGAUGGAGUCAGAGGAGUUGCCAGCCAAACCCAGGGAGGAAGCAGGUGGCACAAGAUGAAAGAAAGGUGACACCAAGUGACAGAAUGUUGAUGAAUAGAAACAGGUUAAUUUAAGUUGUUAAGAGCCAGUUAGUAACAAGCAUGAGCUAUUGGCUGAGCAUUUGUGAUUAAUAUUAAGUCUCCUUGUCAGUUACUUGGGAACUGGUGGGUGGGAAGAAAAGUCUGCCUACAGGGUCUUACAGGAUAGCCUUAGCUAUCCUGGAACUCUCUCUAUAGACCAGGUUGGCCUCCAACUCAGAGAUCCGCCUGCCUCUACCUCCUGAGUGCUGGGAUUAAAGGCGUGCACCACCAUCAUCUGGUUUUCAGCUUCCCUUUUAAAGGAGUUUUGCUCUCUCAACACCCAUAACACCCAUUCUUAAGUCUAUAUUAAAA
rnacentral:lncRNA from 1 species